rnacentral:lncRNA from 1 species
AUUGAUGCCAUGUAAAUAUGUGACGUUAUCCAAUCAAAGUGAAUGUUACAAACGUUGUUGCAUUAGAAUUUGCAUUAAUUGUACUAAAACUAUGACUACAACUCAAUGAAACAGGAGGUUUUUGCUGUACAGUUUUUUCUGUGUCAAAAACCUAUUAUGUGUCAAAUAUUUAAUUACAAUCCAAAUUUAGACCUGUAUCAAGCGUGAAUAUAAUUUGUGUCCAUUUUGGUCCCAACUUUUCAGGGUCGAACAUCUGCUGUCGUAUUUAUUUUGUUUUUAAGAUUUCAUAAGAAGAAUUCUUGAUGCACACUUGAAGAAUUCAUAUACGAUCACUAAUAGAGAUGUCUAUAUAUACUGAUAUACUUAUACAUUUUUGUACAUGGAAUCCUUUGGUCAGCACAAACGUUUAUCCUCAUGUGUGAUUUUCUCCAAAUAAAACGCCCCUGCCUCUCAAUUAAUAAUUUAAUAACAUGGCUCUCCUAUUAGUAUGAUGGACUUAAAUCUGUUAUGCCAGUGUAAAAUGUGUUGUCUUUUUGAUAAAAUGAAAUUAUCUCCAAGUAUUUCAUGGCCAUGUGUUUUAUUAUACCACAAUGUCUGCAUUUUUUGUUUGUUGACUAAGUACAAUAUACCAAGAAUAUAAACACACAACAAGUGAUUGAAAAGUAAGCAUCACUUU